GACGAACGCUGGCGGCGUGCUUAACACAUGCAAGUCGAACGGAAAGGCCCUGCUUUUGUGGGGUGCUCGAGUGGCGAACGGGUGAGUAACACGUGAGUAACCUGCCCUUGACUUUGGGAUAACUUCAGGAAACUGGGGCUAAUAUCGGAUAGGAGCUCCUGCUGCAUGGUGGGGGUUGGAAAGUUUCGGCGGUUGGGGAUGGACUCGCGGCUUAUCAGCUUGUUGGUGGGGUAGUGGCUUACCAAGGCUUUGACGGGUAGCCGGCCUGAGAGGGUGACCGGCCACAUUGGGACUGAGAUACGGCCCAGACUCCUACGGGAGGCAGCAGUGGGGAAUAUUGCACAGUGGGCGGAAGCCUGAUGCAGCAACGCCGCGUGCGGGAUGACGGCCUUCGGGUUGUAAACCGCUUUCGCCUGUGACGAAGCGUGAGUGACGGUAAUGGGUAAAGAAGCACCGGCUAACUACGUG
rnacentral:rRNA from 1 species